AACGAACGCUGGCGGUAUGCUUAACACAUGCAAGUCGAACGGACUAAUUAGGGCUUUCUCCAGUUAGUGAGUGGCAGACGGGUGAGUAACACGUGGGAAUCUGCCCCUCAGUACGGAAUAACUUUUAGAAAUAAAAGCUAAUACCGUAUAUUCUCUUCAGAGGACAGAUUUAUCGCUGAUGGAUGAGCGCGCGUCAGAUUAGGUAGUUGGUGAGGUAACGGCUCACCAAGCCGACGAUCUGUAGCUGGUCUGAGAGGAUGAUCAGCCACACUGGGACUGAGACACGGACCCGACUCGGACGGGAGGGAGCAGUGGGGAAUAUUGGACAAGGGGGGAAAGCCUGAUCCAGCAAUGCCGAGUGAGUGAUAAAGGCCGUAGGGUUGUAAAGCUGUUUUAGCAAGGAAGAUAAUGACGGUACUUGCAGAAAAAGCCCCGGCUAACUACGUG
rnacentral:rRNA from 1 species